GUGGCGAAUGAUUACAACAUGCAGUCGAGCGGAGCACGGGGGCAACCCUGGUGGUGAGCGGCGAACGGGUGAGUAACACAUCACCACAGCCCAGUCGUGGGGGAUAAACUUCGAAAGAAGUGCUAAUACCGCAUACGUCCUGAGGGAGAAAGUGGGGAUCGCAAGACCUCGCGCGAUUGGAGUGGUCGAUGUCAGAUUAGCUAGUUGGUGGGGUAAAGGCCUACCAAGGCAACGAUCUGUAGCUGGUCUGAGAGGAUGAUCAGCCACACUGGGACUGAGACACGGUCCAGACUCUUACGGGAGGCAGCAGUGGGAAUUUUGGACAAUGGNGGCAACCCUGAUYCAAGCCAUUCCGCGUGAGUGAAGAAGGCCUUCGGGUUGUAAAGCUCUUUCGGCAGGAACGAACGGUGAGCUCUAACAUAGCUUGCUAAUGACGGUACGUGAAGAAGAAGCACCGGCUAACUACGUGCCAGCAGCCGCGGUAAUACGUAGGGUGCGAGCGUUAAUCGGAAUUACUGGGCGUAAAGCGUGCGCAGGCGGUUGUGUAAGACAGGUGUGAAAUCCUCCGGGCUUAACCUGGGAACUGCGCUUGUGACUGCACAGCUAGAGUAUGGCAGAGGGGGGUGGAAUUCCACGUGUAGCAGUGAAAUGCGUAGAGAUGUGGAGGAACACCGAUGGCGAAGGCAGCCCCCUGGGCCACUACUGACGCUCAUGCACGAAAGCGUGGGGAGCAAACAGGAUUAGAUACCCUGGUAGUCCACGCCCUAAACGAUGUCGACUAGGUGUUCGGUGAGGAGACUCAUGAGUACCGCAGCUCUCGCGUGAAUCGACCACCUGGGGAGUACGGUCGCAAGAUAAA
rnacentral:rRNA from 1 species